CUGCUGGAUGCGUGGGUCGGUCUUUUACGUCGGGACUCAAGGGUUUGUUAGGUGGUGCUAGGAGCGAUGGCUCUCGGUGUAACGGAGCUCUUAGGUGAAGAUGCUGAGAGGAAAAGGAAGAGUGCAAAACAUGGAGAAUGUUUGCUGGAAAACGACAUGGUUAAAACCUAAUGAUCUUAGCAGCAUCCUGCAGGUUGUUGAUUGCUAAUGAAGUUAUGGAUAUCUCUGAUGGCAGCUUCAUUCUGAAUGAGGGGUCGCUGUCUGCCUAUUGAAAGAGGCCAGAUUGCAGUGAAGUUCCUGAGAUAUUUCUGGCUAAUGCCACAAGAUUUACCGGUAUGUCGUGUGAAAAACUAAGGAAAAGCGCUUCAUUUUAUGGAUAUGGAAAGAAAAAUCAAGAUGGAUUAUAUUUUUUUUUAAUUAUCCAGUCUUUAAUUAGUUAAGUAAAACUAAUUAAACUUUUUAAAAUCAA